rnacentral:lncRNA from 1 species
GCAGAUGGAUACUAUAAUUCAUUAGUUAGUUGUAAUGUUGAGAUGAAUGCAUGUGGUGGAAGAACGUUACCAAAAGAAAAAGGGCUUGAUAAUUAGUACUUAAGCAACGCAAUGAGGUACCAACCACUUCCCGGUGAACCUCCGCCUCCGCCUCCGCCAGAGUACGGGCAGCCGCCACCUCCACCUCCACCUCCACCCCCACCAGAGUACGCGCCACCGCCACCUCCACCAGAGUACGUGCCACCGCCGCCACCUCCACUGGAGUACGGGCGACCACCACCUCCCCCAGCGUAUGCGCCACCGCCGCCACCACCAGACUACCCUCCCCCUCGUCCUCCUCCUGGCCCUCCACCACCUGGCUAUCAGGGUUACUUUUAUCCUCCGCCGCCGCCAACCCCGACCCCACCACCGCAGCCUUCAGUACAAGACAAUGAUGGCCCUGGCUGCUGUUCAAUCCUUAGAGGCUGGUAUGUACACGCUCACCCUCUCCCUACUGCUCUCACUUGCUAGCUUCCAGUUUCUUCCAUUAAUAGUUUGAUCAUAUCACGUUUUGCAGGAACUGAGUAAUCGUGUGUUUUACUCUUUUGCUCUUUUGUAUUUCUCUACUUUUUAAGGACAAAAUUAAUCCAAAAUUAAUCUAAUUUCUUGAUGAUAAUCAGCUCCAAACUUAUAAUUUAUAGUAAAAACUGAAAUUAUUUUCCAAUUGACACUAGGAUUAACUAUAACAAUAUAACAAGUUUUCAUUUUCUCAUUGCUUAUGAGUCGAUGACAAUCAGAUUUUAUUAAUUUUUAUUUCUAUUUUCAUCCAGUUCCUUAGCUUAAUCUAAAUUAUUAGAACUUUGGUGCAUAUCUAGUGUGACGUCUGCAAUUAAGCUUCUACUUUUAAAUGCCUAAAUUCUAGAUUGUAGGACGGUAAAUCUACUUUUUGGCUUCCUUAGUUUGUUCUUGUUCCACUGCUUCACCUUCACUGACCCCUUGUGUCUUGUAUACAUCGUUUUCAGUUUGGCUGCAAUUUGUUGCUGCUGGAUAUUGGACGCGUGCUGCCCUUAGGCCAUUUACAUACAUCUGCUCGACAAGCAUUCGUAUUAAUAAUAAUUAGUAUUGUUGAACUCAAUUACUUAUUUGAGGAGAGCGGAAACUCCUUACUCCCUACGUACUGCAUAAUUAAUCGCAGUGUUAAAAGCAAACUUAGCUAAUCGAUGGGCUACUCAUUGCAACGACGACACGAAACAUACUCAAAUUUCACCUCGUGUAAUUGAGCAGCCCACACCUUUGCGUCCUCGAUCAAAACACGUAGAGCAGAGGGAUCAUGCUCACUUCUCAGAUGGUAAGGCCUGCAGCUCUUCCGACCCCAAAAGAAAAACAAGGGCGGCUUUCUUAGCGGCUGGCAUGCCUGAUUUCUGAAACGCUAUUCUUGUUCUUUCAAUUCGAUGCAUUUAGGUUAUGUGACACUUUCGUAUACAAUACAAGAAGCUGGGCCAAGAUGGGCUAAACGGCCUUGGGAUCUUUGAUUGAAAUAAAUUGGUUGGUUUUGGUGUUCAUUCUUCUUUAGAGUGAUUUUCUGCUGAGCGCUCAUUUG